AAUCUUCCGCAAUGGACGCAAGUCUGACGGAGCAACGCCGCGUGAGUGAUUAAGGUUUUCGGACCGUAAAACUCUGUUGUUAGGGAAGAACAAGUACCGUUCGAAUAGGUCGGUACCUUGACGGUCCCUAACCAGAAAGCCACUGCUAACUACGUGCCAGCAGCCGAGGUAACACGUAGGUGGCAAGCGUUACCCGGAAUUAUUGGGCGUAAAGCGCGAGCAGGCGGUUACUUAAGUCUGAUGUGAAAGCCCACGGCUCAACCGUGGAGGGUCAUUGGAAACUGGGGAACUUGAGUGCAGAAGAGGAGAGUGUAAUUCCAUGUGUAGCGGUGAAAUGCGUAGAGAUAUGGAGGAACACCAGUGGCGAAGGCGACUCUCUGGUCUGCAACUGACGCUGAGGCGCGAAAGCGUGGGGAGCAAACA
rnacentral:rRNA from 1 species